rnacentral:rRNA from 1 species
UACGUAGGGCGCAAGCGUUGUCCGGAAUUAUUGGGCGUAAAGAGCUCGUAGGCGGUUUGUCGCGUCUGCCGUGAAAGCCCGGGGCUUAACUCCGGGUCUGCGGUGGAUACGGGCAGACUAGAGGCAGGUAGGGGAGAACGGAAUUCCCGGUGUAGCGGUGAAAUGCGCAGAUAUCAGGAGGAACACCAAUGGCGAAGGCAGCACUCUGGGACGUGACUGACGCUGGGACGCGAAAGCGUGGGGAGCAAACAGG